rnacentral:rRNA from 1 species
UACGGAGGGUGCAAGCGUUAUCCGGAUUCACUGGGUUUAAAGGGUGUGUAGGCGGGUAUUUAAGUCAGUGGUGAAAUCUCCAGGCUCAACCUGGAAACUGCCAUUGAUACUAUUUAUCUUGAAUAUCGUUGAGGUAGGCGGAAUAUAUCAUGUAGCGGUGAAAUGCUUAGAUAUGAUAUAGAACACCGAUUGCGAAGGCAGCUUACUAAACGAAGAUUGACGCUGAGGCACGAAAGCGUGGGGAUCAAAC